UACUGAUGGUGCAAGCGUUAAUCGGAAUUACUGGGCGUAAAGCGCACGCAGGCGGCUUUUUAAGUCGGAUGUGAAAGCCCCGGGCUCAACCUGGGAAUUGCAUUCGAUACUGGGAAGCUAGAGUAUGUGAGAGGGGGGUAGAAUUCCAAGUGUAGCGGUGAAAUGCGUAGAGAUUUGGAGGAAUACCAGUGGCGAAGGCGGCCCCCUGGCACACUACUGACGCUCAGGUGCGAAAGCGGGGGGCGCACACAGGAGUCGAUCACCCUGUAGUCC
rnacentral:rRNA from 1 species